rnacentral:rRNA from 1 species
UACGGGAGGCUGCAGUGGGGAAUCUUGCGCAAUGGGCGAAAGCCUGACGCAGCCAUGCCGCGUGAAUGAUGAAGGUCUUAGGAUUGUAAAAUUCUUUCACCGGGGACGAUAAUGACGGUACCCGGAGAAGAAGCCCCGGCUAACUUCGUGCCAGCAGCCGCGGUAAUACGAAGGGGGCUAGCGUUGCUCGGAAUUACUGGGCGUAAAGGGAGCGUAGGCGGACAUUUAAGUCAGGGGUGAAAUCCCGGGGCUCAACCUCGGAAUUGCCUUUGAUACUGGGUGUCUUGAGUAUGAGAGAGGUGUGUGGAACUCCGAGUGUAGAGGUGAAAUUCGUAGAUAUUCGGAAGAACACCAGUGGCGAAGGCGACACACUGGCUCAUUACUGACGCUGAGGCUAGUGAACGUGGGGAGCAAACAGGAUUAGAUACCCUUGUAGUCGAAUCU